UUCACUUUCUUGAAUUAUAGUGUUAUCUACAUUAAAAGUGAGCUCUUUAAUGGUCAGGCAGAAGGUGAGAGACCACAUCCCCAUAAUCACAAAAUGGACAGACAGAAGAGAUGGAUGUCCAUUCUCCUGUUUUGAAACACAAGAGUAAGCCUUCCAGAUGAUAGUCCGAGCUAAAAGUCUUACUGGAUGGAGCGCUUCCAACAAUGACCUGUAUUUCAACUGUAAAUACCUCCUUUUGGUAUGUUUGCAUGUUUGAUAGCAAACAGCAGGGUUUUUACUGUGUUGUCAGAAUUUAAGAGACUGGGGACUGAAUCAAACCUACCAAGACCCAAAACCUCUUUGCAGUCAAUGGAGAGGAGCAGAAGUGGAUCCUGAAUCCCAUUCAUUAAUUCGUUAAUGAGACCCAUCAUUAGCUGUACAAGAAGGUAGGACUUUCCCAGCCCCAGGCAGUAAAUAGCCUGAGUGCAAGGUAUCUUCCAUUCCAAAGGUGAGUGCAAUGUGCUCAUUCCUACUUCCUUGUGCUCACUCCUUACUUUUCAAAUCUUAAUUCUGCUUUGGGUACAUUCCCUAGGUACACUGUCUGAAGUCAAAGAGAAGGAUUUUGCUCAUGUUGUCCAUUGCCAAAAUAAUCAGGUUUUUCCUGUUUAUAUACAACACCUACUUUACAAGAUUCCUUGGAAUUCUUUGAAGUUCCUUUUUGGAAACCAGCUCACCUGGGCAGAAAUCCAACUGAUGAAACAAUCUUGAUGGCAGAAGUGAAAACGUCCACAUUAUCUCCAAAUUUUCUUUGCUGCAGGCUUUUAAAGCAAGUGAAAGCAGCAUUGCCACAAUUAAAAAUUUCCUCCAACCUGACAAGAAGGUCACCACAAGAUGAAGAAGCUGCAGCAUUAACACACAGAAUUUUCAAUAGGAAAUGAAGCCAAGUUCCAUCUGCGGUCAUUUUUCAGCCCCUUUUCCUAGUUGAACUUUUAUUUUUAUUUUUUUAUUGUUAUUUAUAUUUUUUUCCUAGAUUUGUAUGAUGUUGAACAUGCAACAGGGGCAAAACAAUAUCAUAUUGAGCUUACAUUUCUCAAACUGUUAAAUGUAUCUGCAAGACAGGUAAAUGCAGAGGUAGAAGUUUACUCAUAAAUAUCAUUAAAACACACAUAUCUUACAAUUUUGAAGAUGACACAAAACACCAAAUAAAGAUUACCUUAAAAGUCAGACAGUUGUAUAUUGUAUAAAUAAUGUGUCAUUGAAUCUUUCUGUGCUGAUGGAUCUGUGUAGAAGAGUCUAAGGAAAUGAGAUAAUAUUUGGCUUUGAAGAGAAACUAAGGUUAAAAUAUGUAUAAAGAAUGCUGGGUCUUAUGAAAAUUCUGAUGAUCUCCAGGGAAACACUAACUUCAAUAAAAACAAAGCUGUUUUAUAAGAGAAGAAAUUGUCUUUGUUGUCAAUGAAAUCUGUUUCUCCUUAUAUGAGUUGUAUAAAUAAAUCUGGUUUUAUAAAGACAAUGACCAAAGCAAAUAAAAAAAAAUGUCA